AAAAUGAAUAACGCAGUUACUAAGUUCCCGGCAAUAUCAUAAAGCGAUUAGGGUUGUAUUUGAAAUAAAUUCGGUCUGGUGAACCCUUUCCCCUCCCCCACCUCCACCCCCUCUUCACACGAUCCAUUACAAAGAGCCGGCGCACCUCUUUAUAACCGGGUGCAAGGGAAUAUCCUGCGCUCCAACGUUAAGACCUGGAGCGAAACUACAAGCAGCACUUUGGCGAAUGUAUUCCAAGGGGAGGGUCCCGUGGAGCAACGCCGUGUCUGGGGCCUUUAUGCUGAACAGUGCGGGAAGCCAGGGGCGCGGCAGAUGCAACUCCCCAGUUUAUGAAAACCAUGGCUGCCGCUGUCUAUAAGGAAGCUGGCAUUAUGAUGAAUUGCAUUCGUUAUCCCACUCUAAAAUGGUUCCAACACGCACCCCUCCCCUUCCUGUCGUGGUACUGAAAAUGCCCUUUCAGUGUCACAACUUCACACUGUAAAUUGGGCCUUACUCUGCCCCGUAAACCUUGCCCUUUGUUACUUUCCGUCACAGAGCCUCUCCCCCAAAACUUCUCCUCUGUUGCCCAGCCAAGAAAACCUUGCCUGGAAUUUGAAACCCCUGAUAUUCAUGCUCUAAAUGCCACGUUUGAAAAAA